GGUGGACGUCACAUGUGCAGCUCAGCUGUUGUGCUGAGAAUUGCUGACACGAGCAGUUCCAACCAGGAAAGCAGAGCUGCUUCCCACGGACAGAUUUUGGGGGAGAGAUCAGAGACAUACAGACUGUACUUCCUUCUGCGACACAGAAUUCGCACCUACUUGCUGAAUGGAAAACUUCCGUACAGCCAUGGUCUCCAACUUCAAAAUUGAGGGACUACAUUUAAUUCGCGCAACUAUUCCCAACAGCCAAGACAUGGAAACACCCUAAAUGUCCAUCAACAGAGGAGUGGAUCAAGAAGAUGCAGUAUAUGUCUACAAUGGAAUAUUACUCAGCCGUAAAAAAGAAUGAAAUAAUGCCACUUGCAGCCGCAUGAAUGGGCCUAGAGAUUAUCAUACUCACUGAAGUUAAUCAGACAGUGAAAGACAAAUACCAUACACUAUCACGUCUAUGUGGAAUCUAAAAUAUGAUGCAAAUGAUCCUGUCUACAGAACAGAAACAGACUCACAGACAUAGAGAACAGGCUUGUGGUCGCCAAGGGGGAGGGAGAGGGAGUGGGAUGGAUGGGGAGUUUGGGGUUACAGACGCAAACUGUGACGUUGAGAAUGGAUAAGCCAUGAGGUCCUGCUGUCCAGCACGGGGAACUCUAUCCACAGUCUCUUGGGAUAGACCAGGAUGGUAGACCGUUUGAGAAAAUGCAUGUAUAUCCACGUAUGACUGGGUUACUAUGCUGUACAGCAGAAAUUGACACAAUAUUGUAAAUCAACUCUAAUAAAAAAAUUAACAUACCUAAUAACUUCA
rnacentral:lncRNA from 1 species